rnacentral:piRNA from 1 species
UGGCUGAGCCAACCGUUGUCUUAACCU